rnacentral:rRNA from 1 species
CCUACGGGAGGCUGCAGUGGGGAAUCUUACGCAAUGGGCGAAAGCCUGACGGAGCAACGCCGCGUGAGAGAAUGAAGGCCUGCGGGUUGUAAAGAUCUGUUGACAGGGACGAACAAGCAAUGCGUAUAGUCUUGUGCAUGACGGUACCUGUUGAGAAAGCUCCGGCUAACUACGUGCCAGCAGCCGCGGUAAUACGUAGGGAGCAAGCGUUGUCCGGAAUUACUGGGCGUAAAGGGCGCGUAGGUGGGCGCUUAAGUCAGGUGUGAAAACUCCGGGCUCAACCUGGAGACUGUACUUGAAACUGGGUGUCUUGAGGGCAGGAGAGGGAAGUGGAAUUCCUAGUGUAGCGGUGAAAUGCGUAGAUAUUAGGCGGAACACCAGUGGCGAAGGCGACUUUCUGGACUGUACCUGACGCUGAGGCGCGAAAGCGUGGGUAGCGAACAGGAUUAGCUACCCGGGUAGUC